CCCCACUAGAUCUUCGUCCGAUGCCUUCUCGCAAAGCAUCCACACAACGAUCCGCGGCCAGAUCCCAGGCUCCGGCCUUACCUCCAGUUUCCCAGCCUUCUCCUCCUCCUCCGGCAAUGGCCGUCGGCGUGGGACGGCCAGACGAUCGGCUUCCGACGGAUUUUGCCAACACCAUCUUGGGAGAAUCCCGACAGGGAGC
rnacentral:lncRNA from 1 species